rnacentral:rRNA from 1 species
CCUACGGGCGGCAGCAGUAGGGAAUCUUUCACAAUGGGCGAAAGCCUGAUGGAGCAACGCCGCGUGCAGGAUGAAGGCCUUCGGGUUGUAAACUGCUUUUAUAAGCGAGAAAUAUGAUGGUAACUUAUGAAUCCGGAUCGGCUAACUACGUGCCAGCAGCCGCGGUCAUACGUAGGAUCCGAGCAUUAUCCGGAGUGACUGGGUGUAAAGAGUUGCGUAGGUGGCAUAAUAAGUAGCUAGUGAAAUCUGGUGGCUCAACCAUUCAGACUAUUAGCUAAACUGUUAAGCUCGAGACCGUUAGGGGUAACUGGAAUUUCUAGUGUAGGAGUGAAAUCCGUAGAUAUUAGAAGGAACACCAAUAGCGUAGGCAGGUUGCUGGGACGGUUCUGACACUAAGGCACGAAAGCGUAGGGAGCAAACGGGAUUAGAUACCCUUGUAGUC